GCUAGACUGACUGAACUAUUAUAAAGCUGAAUGAUACAUUCUGCUAGACUGACUGAACUAUUAUAAAGCUGAAUGAUACAUUCUGCUAGACUGACUGAACUAUUAUAAAGCUGAAUGAUACAUUCUGCUAGACUGACUGAACUAUUAUUGCUAGAGAGCUGUUUUCUUUCUGCCAGCCAGCAAGGCAGCCUGACUGGCUCCCUCCCUAAUGGCACCCUGUUCCCUAUUACAGAGCCCUGGUCAAAAGUAGUUCACUAUAUAGGGAAUUGGUUGCUAUUUGGGACAGAGACUGUGUAUGGUUGCCUGUAGGCCUCUAAAGUAGACUGAUGCCAAGAGACAAACUAAAUCCUAGGAGUUGCAUACUCUUAAGUGACCUAAUAAUUGAUGUGUAUUAAUCUUCUCUAAGAGAAAAUACUUUUUUUUAUUUCAGAAGAUUGUUGACACAGACAGAUGUCUGAGGAAAGGAGGGAGAGAUGGAUGGGGGGUUAUAGGUAGAAGUGUAAGGACUGGGGAGAACACUGGAAAGGGGGGAUACUGGUAUUACGCAGCUCAAUGAAUGUGUGGGGCCUAUGUGAUCUAAUGAACUCACUUCAACAAAGGCAUUGUUGUAUCUAAGCUAAUCACACAGGAAAGCUACUUUUUCUAUAAUAAAUCUAAAUUUUCAAAUAAUCAUAAGGUUGUUAGCUUGUUUUGGGAGAGGUGGGAAGGGGCUAACCUCGUACGAACCAUAGGAAGGGGCAGCAGUGAUGGUGUGUGUGAAAAGAAGACUGCAGUGCAAUCACUGUAAAGUGACUGGGUGUCUUGAAAAAGAGCUUAAACUAAAAUGUAUGAUUUAUUAUUACUUCCACACUGCUUGGAAUGUCUGAUGCAACCAUGGUGAUGUAACUAACUCCACUCAAUAUGAUAUUCCAUUGAGGUUAAGGCUGCAGGUGCAAUUGUGAUAGCAUUGUUCCAGUCACCAUUACCUAACAUUGCAGAAUGUUGUGUAUGAUGUCAUAAAGACAGAUUGUUACUUCACAGCAAAAUUCAAAACAACUGGGACUUGGAAAUCUCAGACUUCGGGGGGGUGGAGCCUUUACCUCCACUGACAUCUUGAC
rnacentral:lncRNA from 1 species